rnacentral:misc_RNA from 1 species
UCGAACCCUGCAAGACAGUACGACCUGUGAACAUGUUAACACAACGGGGCGACAGGGAAACGGGCCUUGGUCCUGAUCCCCCAACCCCUCCCGACGUGCGUUUGUGAUGCCUUCUAUUGGGCAUCAUGGAUCCCGUCGGACCAUAACAAACCCCGGCACGGCAUGUGCCAAGGAAAACAAAAAUGAGAAGGACACGUCUUGUAAUGCCCCGUUUGCGGUGUGCAUGCGUUUCGUGGCCUCCUAGGAAAACUACAAACGACUCUCGGCAACGGAUAUCUCGGCUCACGCAUCGAUGAAGAACGUAGCAAAAUGCGAUACUUGG